CUACGUGCCAGCAGCCGCGGUAAUACGUAGGGUGCGAGCGUUGUCCGGAAUUAUUGGGCGUAAAGGGCUUGUAGGCGGUUUGUCGCGUCUGCCGUGAAAUCCUCUGGCUUAACUGGGGGCGUGCGGUGGGUACGGGCAGACUUGAGUGCGGUAGGGGAGACUGGAACUCCUGGUGUAGCGGUGGAAUGCGCAGAUAUCAGGAAGAACACCGGUGGCGAAGGCGGGUCUCUGGGCCGUUACUGACGCUGAGGAGCGAAAGCGUGGGGAGCGAACAGGAUUAGAUACCCUGGUAGUCCACGCUGUAAACGUUGGGCACUAGGUGUGGGGGCCACCCGUGGUUUCUGCGCCGUAGCUAACGCUUUAAGUGCCCCGCCUGGGGAGUACGGCCGCAAGGCUAAAACUCAAAGGAAUUGACGGGGGCCCGCACAAGCGGCGGAGCAUGCGGAUUAAUUCGAUGCAACGCGAAGAACCUUACCAAGGCUUGACAUGC
rnacentral:rRNA from 1 species